AUUGAACGCUGGCGGCAGGCCUAACACAUGCAAGUCGAGCGGAUGAGGGGAGCUUGCUCCUUGAUUCAGCGGCGGACGGGUGAGUAAUGCCUAGGAAUCUGCCUGGUAGUGGGGGAUAACGUUCCGAAAGGAACGCUAAUACCGCAUACGUCCUACGGGAGAAAGCAGGGGACCUUCGGGCCUCGCGCUAUCAGAUGAGCCUAGGUCGGAUUAGCUAGUUGGUGAGGUAAUGGCUCACCAAGGCGACGAUCCGUAACUGGUCUGAGAGGAUGAUCAGUCACACUGGAACUGAGACACGGUCCAGACUCCUACGGGAGGCAGCAGUGGGGAAUAUUGGACAAUGGGCGAAAGCCUGAUCCAGCCAUGCCGCGUGUGUGAAGAAGGUCUUCGGAUUGUAAAGCACUUUAAGUUGGGAGGAAGGGCAGUAAGUUAAUACCUUGCUGCUUUGACGUUACCAACAGAAUAAGCACCGGCUAACUUCGUGCCAGCAGCCGCCGUAACAC
rnacentral:rRNA from 1 species